rnacentral:rRNA from 1 species
AACACGUGGGAAAUCUGCCCUGCACUCUGGGACAAGCCUUGGAAACGAGGUCUAAUACCGGAUAUUACCUGUCCUCGCAUGGGGAUGGGUGGAAAGCUCCGGCGGUGCAGGAUGAUCCCGCGGCCUAUCAGCUUGUUGGUGGGGUAAUGGCCUACCAAGGCGACGACGGGUAGCCGGCCUGAGAGGGCGACCGGCCACACUGGGACUGAGACACGGCCCAGACUCCUACGGGAGGCAGCAGUGGGGAAUAUUGCACAAUGGGCGAAAGCCUGAUGCAGCGACGCCGCGUGAGGGAUGAAGGCCUUCGGGUCGUAAACCUCUUUCAGCAGGGAAGAAGCGCAAGUGACGGUACCUGCAGAAGAAGCACCGGCUAACUACGUGCCAGCAGCCGCGGUAAUACGUAGGGUGCGAGCGUUGUCCGGAAUUAUUGGGCGUAAAGAGCUCGUAGGCGGCUUGUCGCGUCGGAUGUGAAAGCCCGGGGCUUAACCCCGGGUCUGCAUUCGAUACGGGCAGGCUAGAGUGUGGUAGGGGAGAUCGGAAUUCCUGGUGUAGCGGUGAAAUGCGCAGAUAUCAGGAGGAACACCGGUGGCGAAGGCGGAUCUCUGGGCCAUUACUGACGCUGAGGAGCGAAAGCGUGGGGAGCGAACAGGAUUAGAUACCCUGGUAGUCCACGCCGUAAACGGUGGGAACUAGGUGUUGG